rnacentral:rRNA from 1 species
GCUUACGGCCAUACCACCCUGAACACGCCCGAUCUCGUCCGAUCUCGGAAGCUAAGCAGGGUCGGGCCUGGUUAGUACUUGGAUGGGAGACCGCCUGGGAAUACCAGGUGCUAUAAGCU